rfam:Leptotrichia hofstadii F0254 genomic scaffold Scfld1, whole genome shotgun sequence.
AAAUCAUAUAUAAUAUAACCAAAGACAGUAGGUAGAACGAAAGUUCUUUAAACCCUACCGAGGUAAGUAUUAUUAUAAAUAGAUAUUAAAAUUAAAUAAUAGAUAUUUUUAUAGUAUGAUACCUCUGGGCUUAUUGUUUUUGUUUCAGAGGUUUUUAUUAUAAGGA